UACGUAGGGUGCAAGCGUUAAUCGGAAUUACUGGGCGUAAAGCGUGCGCAGGCGGUUAUAUAAGACAGUUGUGAAAUCCCCGGGCUCAACCUGGGAACUGCAUCUGUGACUGUAUAGCUAGAGUACGGUAGAGGGGGAUGGAAUUCCACGUGUAGCAGUGAAAUGCGUAGAGAUGUGGAGGAAUACCGAUGGCGAAGGCAGCCUCCUGGGCCAACACUGACGCUCAUGCACGAAAGCGUGGGGAGCAAACAGG
rnacentral:rRNA from 1 species